GACGAACGCUGGCGGCGUGCUUAACACAUGCAAGUCGAACGGAAAGGCCAUGCUUUUGUGGGGUGCUCGAGUGGCGAACGGGUGAGUAACACGUGAGUAACCCGCACUUGACUUUGGGAUAACUUCUGGAAACUGGGGCUAAUACCGGAUAGGAGCUACUGCUGCAUGGUGGGGGUUGGAAAGUUUCGGCGGUUGGGGAUGGACUCGCGGCUUAUCAGCUUGUUGGUGGGGUAGUGGCUUACCAAGGCUUUGACGGGUAGCCGGCCUGAGAGGGGGACCGGCCACAUUGGGACUGAGGGACGGCCCAGACGCCUACGGGAGGCAGCAGUGGGAAAUAUUGCACAAUGGGCGGAAGCCUGAUGCAGCAACGCCGCGUGCGGAAUGACGGCCUUCGGGUUAUAAACCGCUUUCGCCUGAGACGAAGCGUGAGUGACGGUAAUGGGUAAAGAAGCACCGGCUAACUACGUG
rnacentral:rRNA from 1 species